rnacentral:tRNA from 1 species
GGGCCGGUAGCUCAGCCUGGUAGAGCACCUGACUUUUAAUCAGGUGGUCGCGAGUUCGAAUAAAGCAUCAAGUUGGCUUCGCCGAUUUAUGCUGAGAAAAUCUCGUCCGGCCCA